rnacentral:rRNA from 2 species
CCUACGGGCGGCUGCAGUGGGGAAUAUUGGACAAUGGGCGAAAGCCUGAUCCAGCAAUGCCGCGUGAGUGAUGAAGGCCUUAGGGUUGUAAAGCUCUUUUACCCGGGAAGAUAAUGACUGUACCGGGAGAAUAAGCCCCGGCUAACUCCGUGCCAGCAGCCGCGGUAAUACGGAGGGGGCUAGCGUUGUUCGGAAUUACUGGGCGUAAAGCGCACGUAGGCGGCUUUGUAAGUUAGAGGUGAAAGCCUGGAGCUCAACUCCAGAAUUGCCUUUAAGACUGCAUCGCUUGAAUCCAGGAGAGGUGAGUGGAAUUCCGAGUGUAGAGGUGAAAUUCGUAGAUAUUCGGAAGAACACCAGUGGCGAAGGCGGCUCACUGGACUGGUAUUGACGCUGAGGUGCGAAAGCGUGGGGAGCAAACAGGAUUAGAUACCCCAGUAGUC